rnacentral:rRNA from 1 species
AUGAUCCUUUGUGAUGCUUGUCAGAUGGCCAAGAGCCAUCAACUUCCUUAUUCUAAAUCGUUUAGUGAACCAAAGGCUCCUUUAGAGCUUUUUUCAGAUGCGGGUCCUGGACCCGUUUCUAUAGGCAGACAAAAAUACUAUGUGAGUUUUAUUGAUGAUUUUAGCAAGUUUAGUUGGAUUUAUUUGCUCAAAAGUAAGUCUGACAUAUUUGAGAAAUUCCAUCUUUUCGAACAAAUGUUGAACAUCUUUUUGAUCGAAAAAUUCUUGCUAUGCAAACAGAUUAGGGGGGUGAAUACCAAAAACUCAAUUCUUUUUUUUGAGCGAAUUGGCAUCACUCAUGUUUCGUGUCGCCACGCUCACCAACAAAACAUAUCCGCAGAAAGGAAACAUAGACACAUCGUGGAAGUUGGUCUAUCAAUCCUUGCUCAUGCCUUUAUGCCCUUGAAAUUUUGGGAUGAGGCAUUCCUCACCUCCGUUUAUCUUAUCAAUCAUUUCCCUAGUAGGGUCAUCGAAAAUCGAACAUCUCUCGAACGUCUCUUUGGCAAGAAACCUGACUAG